AGGACGAACGCUGGCGGCGUGCCUAACACAUGCAAGUCGAGCGGAGGUAUAUGAAGCUUGCGAUUAAUAACCUUAGCGGCGGACGGGUGAGUAACGCGUGGGCAAUCUACCUCUGGGUGGGGAAUAACAGUUGGAAACGACUGCUAAUACCGCAUAAGCUCUUUGAGACACAUGUUUUAAAGAGGAAAGGAUUAAUUCGCCGAGAGAUGAGCCCGCGUCUGAUUAGCUAGUUGGUGGGGUAACGGCCUACCAAGGCGACGGUCAGUAGCCGGCCUGAGAGGGUGAACGGCCACAUUGGAACUGAGACACGGUCCAAACUCCUACGGGAGGCAGCAGUGGGGAAUAUUGCGCAAUGGGGGAAACCCUGACGCCAGCGACGCCGCGUGAGCGAUGAAGGCUCUCGGGUCGUAAAGCUCUGUUCUAAGGGACGAAUAAAUGACGGUACCUUAGGAGGAAGCCCCGGCUAACUACGUGCCAGCCGCUGC
rnacentral:rRNA from 1 species